rnacentral:rRNA from 1 species
CCCUGACUUCGGGAUAACUCCUCGAAAGAGGAGCUAAUACCGGAUACGACCACUUCGGACAUCCGAUGGUGGUGGAAAGUUUUUCGGUCAGGGAUGGGCCCGCGGCCUAUCAGGCUAGUUGUGGGGUAAUGGGCCUACCAAGGCGACGACGGGUAGCCGGCCUGAGAGGGCGACCGGCCACACUGGGACUGAGACACGGCCCAGACUCCUACGGGAGGCAGCAGUGGGGAAUAUUGCGCAAUGGGCGAAAGCCUGACGCAGCGACGCCGCGUGAGGGAUGAAGGCCUUCGGGUUGUAAACCUCUUUCAGCAGGGACGAAGCGAAAGUGACGGUACCUGCAGAAGAAGCACCGGCUAACUACGUG